rnacentral:rRNA from 1 species
GACGUAGGAGGCGAGCGUUGUCCGGAUUCAUUGGGCGUAAAGAGCACGCAGGCGGUUUGGCAAGUCGGAUGUGAAAACCCGGAGCUCAACUCCGGGCGUGCAUCCGAUACUGCCCCGACUAGAGGUAGGUAGGGGAGAUCGGAAUUCCUGGUGUAGCGGUGAAAUGCGCCAGAUAUCAGGAGGAACACCGGUGGCGAAGGCGGAUCUCUGGGCCUUACCUGACGCUCAGGUGCGAAAGCUAGGGGAGCAAACAGG